UACGAAGGGGGCGAGCGUUGUUCGGAAUUACUGGGCGUAAAGGGCGCGUAGGCGGCCCCUUUUGUCGCGUGUGAAAGCCCCGGGCUCAACCUGGGAGGUGCGCGCGAAACGGGGGGGCUUGAGUUCGGGAGAGGAGAGUGGAAUUCCCAGUGUAGAGGUGAAAUUCGUAGAUAUUGGGAAGAACACCGGUGGCGAAGGCGGCUCUCGUGGACCGAGACUGACGCUGAGGCGCGAAAGCGUGGGGAGCAAACAGG
rnacentral:rRNA from 1 species